AACCUUUUCCUUCUUAGUGCAUAUUUAUUUAAUUUACUAAACUUAAUGUAUCUGUGAAUCUUAGCAUUUUAGGCAGUGACCCAGCCAGGUAAGUUGCUUCUUGCUGUCAGUUACUCCCUGCAGAUGGAAGUAAACCUGGAAUUUUGGUCUUAGCAGAAUUUGUUACAUUCCAUGUAUAAUAGAAAUUUAAAUCCCUUAUGCACUAACAUAAUAGGAAAAUAACAGUUCUAAUAAGUCUGUGUUAGUGGUAACAAAUUGAUUUAUUGAAUUUCUGUUCUGUUAUUCUCUCCACCGCUGAUUCUCACACUUAAUAUAUUCCCCUAAACUCACACUCUCAGGAAAAUGUUGUUGAUGGAUUAGGUAUGGUUGUUACUGUUGGUGAUGAUUCUGGGGCUCAGGCGACAAUACAGAAGCAAUCUUAUUUUGAGCAGAGUAGGCAUUGUCUGCAUAGGAGAGAGCUGGGUUUGACUUUAAAAGACUAUUUAAUCAACUAGUUCUUACUUGGUUUGUCCUUAACUUCAGUACAAUAUGAGAAUGUCCUGUUUGAGUUCCUUUAGUUAUAAUCACUCUAAAUUUUGUAGGUGUGUUAUGGUACCUCCUCUUAAGUUUACUUAUUAUUUAAUUCUUGGCUCAGUGGUUUCUCAAUAAGGCGCAGGUGGUGCUUGGACUGGCUUGCUUUUGGAGUUCUGAGAGAGCUGCUUGAUUAUUCUGCAUCCCAGAUGCUCAACUCUUAAUUGUACACUGUCCUUUUUCAAUUUGCUCUCUCUGCUCAAAUACAUUUACUCAGUUAUUAGUUCUUUGCUCUGUCCUUGAAGAACUGGCCCACUUGAAAUGAAGAUCAGUGGAGUUUCUUAGAACAUGAAUUUGGUGGUUCACUUAAUCUGUUUGUGAUGUCGUAGUGGCCUUCAGUUUUAAUCUUCUAUUGCAGGUAUUGGACAUGGCGUAUCUUCUAAAGAUGUCAUCACCUUUAGCAUAUUCUUCCGGCUAAAAAUAAACAUCAAACUCCAAA